UCGAGAAUCAUUCACAAUGGACGCAAGUCUGAUGGUGCAACGCCGCGUGGAGGAUGAAGGCCCUAGGGUCGUAAACUCCUGUCAUAGUAGAGUAAGGCAUAUUAGU
rnacentral:rRNA from 1 species